rnacentral:rRNA from 1 species
UACGGAGGGGGCUAGCGUUGCUCGGAAUUACUGGGCGUAAAGCGCACGUAGGCGGCUUUGUAAGUUAGAGGUGAAAGCCCGGGGCUCAACCCCGGAAUAGCCUUUAAGACUGCAUCGCUUGAACACGGGAGAGGUGAGUGGAAUUCCGAGUGUAGAGGUGAAAUUCGUAGAUAUUCGGAAGAACACCAGUGGCGAAGGCGGCUCACUGGACCGUUACUGACGCUGAGGCGCGAAAGCGUGGGGAGCAAACAGG